UUAUCCUGUACUUUUAUCCUUUUACUCCUUAUUCUUUUUAUUUUUUAUGUUGUAUUGUUAAUACAUGUAUUGUAUUGUGAUGUAAUUUUGUUGUGGUUUGUUGUGUUGUAUUGUAGUGACUGGAAAGCACUUUGGCGCAACUCCUGUUGUUUUUAAAUGUGCUAUACAAAUAGAAGUGACUUGACUUGACUGUGUGACUAAAAGGUCCAGUUUUUUAUUAAUAGAUGUUAGGACACCAACCUCGAUCUUGGUGGUAUGUAGGUAGUUUGUGUCCGUGGAUGAGCUUUUUUCUUUCUUUUCGAUGGGUUGUACCUGUCAUUUGAUUGCUGUGUACUGGGGCUUGCUUGCAUCUUGCACUGUUGUAGUAGCGGACGAUGAAUGCUUCUGGAUUUAAUAAGUCCUCCACUGUGUUGGAAUUCCAGGCUUUGUACUAAACUGGUCAGAUCUUAUGCGUGUACUAACGGUAGCAAUAGUUUAUUAGUAUAUUGAUGAUAGUGAUAGUGUGGUCUGAGAAAUAGGCUACUGCAUAGAGCCAAAACUGAAAACUGAAGUGAAAAUAAAUUCUGAACCGAGCGGUUGCCUUGGUGUUACAUAAAACAAUUCUUAAUCCUGUAUGUGUGCUAUGAUUGGCCUAAUGUGGGCAUUAAGCGAAGUGAUGUCUUAAAAUCUGAUUUAAAAACCUAUUUGUGGAUUUGUGAGGAUUGUCUCAAUAAUCCAUAAAUAAAUGCAAGCGAGAGGUGAUGCACAAAUGUGAAACAGCCACAUUUAUUUGUGGAUGAGCUACAUUUAUUUGUGGAUUGGCUACAUUUAUUUGUGCAUCAGCUGAAUUUAUUUAUGGAUCCGCUGCAUUUUUUGUGGAUCAGCUGCAUUUAUUUGUGGAUCAGCUAUACUUAUUUGUGGAUCUGUGUUACAUUUAUUUAUUUUUGAGACGAUAAUACCCCCAUCGGUAAGAGCCAUGCCCCACCAAGGUGUAACUUGGCAGAUGGCAUAACUACCAUCCCAAUCAGUUUCAUCUGAGGACCAAAACUCAGUCCAUGCAUUAAUUUGUUAAUUAAUACUAAAUUAUGGAUGUUGCAAAAUUUUCUCCACCUGAACUAAGAAAAUUAUUGUGAUAGAGAUUAUUGUGAUUGCAGAAAAAGCAUAGCAAGAAUAAAUGGUUAAGAAUCUAGGGCCACUGGCAGCAAAUGCAAAAGCUGAAGUAAAAAACUUAAAGGUGUUAUAUUUGAUGCUGAGCUAAGCUUUCAGACUGUGUUUUAUCAUCUUGGAACCAUUUCUAAAGUAUGGCCCGUACUCACUAAACCAGAUGCAGGGAAGCUUAUACAUGCUUUUAACCAGUGAACUUGAGUACUACAAUGCUCUCUUUUCUGGAUUACCACUAAAAACUACUAACCAGCUGCAACUUGAAAAUGCAGUGCCACUUGUUUCAACAAAAAACGAAAAAAGCACACAUUACCCCCAUACUUCAGUCCUUUCAUUCAUUUGUGUGUGCCUGUUCGAAUAUGUGCCUAGGGAAGCUUUUGGAUGUUCUAGUGCCUGAUUGCUGAUGUACCCAGAAUCAGAUACAAAAAAGUGGAGAGGUUGCUUUCAGUUUUUUUGCUCCCAGGUUUUGGAACUUGUCACAUAUCAGUCAGGCUUUAAACUCACUUAAAACUCACCUCUUCAGAAUUUUAAUUAUGGUAUAUCUACAUAAAGUGUGUGUGUGUGUACCCACAUGUACUAGUUGAACAUCUCAUUCUAAAACCAUGGGCAUUCAUAUGGAGUUGGACCCUUUUUGCUGUUUUAACCCUCUGGGGUCGGGAGCUCCGCCGGCUGAGCUCGACAAGAUGAAAUGAACUUUCGUUUCUAUUUGGAUUAUUAACUUCACAAGCUGUUAUCAUACAGACGCAAUAAAAACAUUGACAGAAACCUUAGAACUGUGGCUUUCCAAUGCGCCCAUUGGCAAAUAAUAUGAAUUGUUUUAAAUUUGAUUAAUUAUACCAUGUAUGCUUUGUUAGUCCUUACUCAUUACUAUGUGAAUUUCGCUCAGCAGGCAGUCCGCCCAAAUCGCAUUCACAUGUUAACGACAUUAUAAUUACUCUUCAUAGAAGGGGACUAGGGGAGGGGCGAUGUGAGAUCCAUGUGAGAAAUGCCAAGCCUGCGAAAGCGGGAUAGAAUGUCAAAGCUUAUAGCCUAAUUCACUUCUUUUGAGGUAAACAUUUCGUUUAAUUUUGGAAAAUGGCACGAAUGACUGGACUUGAUGCCUUGUUGGAGAGCGAUGAACAACUCAUCAGGUCCGGUCCGCCUGGACACUGAUGAAGAGCGGUGUCAUUUCAAACAGCGAACUGAUCCAGCUGAGGAUCAACUUCAUGAAGAUGCUGAUCAGGAAACAUGGCCUAGUUCAUCACUAGCUAAGAGGCCACGCAGGCGUCGCAAGAGUAUACCAGUCUCAUCUCAUCUUCCAUGCAUAUAUUUUACUUCAAUAAAUGUUCCAAAAUCAAAAGCUGUCUUUGUUUCUAUCUUCUAAAUGGCUCAUUGAGUCUUGGUCUUAGUGGUGGGGAGGCAUGCGGCCAGGUGUGAAUAGCCUACUUAGCUGGCAGGUCCUCCUACCCAAUGCAUAUUCAUUACAGACAGGCCAUUUGCCCUCCCAUUCUCACCUGGUGUUGAAAAAUAGUAGUCACAACACUAACUUUUAGCAAUUUAUUUUAUAUUUCUCAUUGGAUUUGCUAAAAUAUUUUGUCAUCUUUUGAUACCCAAGACCUUGAUGAACACAUUUCAGUGAUCCAAAAAUGUAGAUACUAUUGUUUAGUGUGUUUUAUUACAACAUUCCUAAACUACUGUUUACAGUUUGUGUGUUUUUAGAGCAAUUUACAGUCCACAUAUGAUUAUGACCUACUUACUGCUGCCAUAUUAUUGUAGCUGAAAACAAAGAUAUCAAACACUUUGGAAUCACUGCAUAUGAAGUUGAUGAAAUUUACACAAGUGUCAGAGCAUGGCACAAUCACCCGUGUGCCUCAUUUUACCCUCAGACCCCAGAGAGUUAACAGCCUCCACUUGUUUGGAACAUGGCUACGGGGAUUCACUUCCAUUCUGCUACAAGAGCACUAGUGACUGCUGUUGUACCCUUGAGCAAGGUACUCAACCGGAAUUGCUUCAGUAUAUAUCCAGCUGUAUAAAUGGAUGCAGUGUAAAUGCUGUGUAAAAGUUGUGUAAGUCGCUCUGGAUAAGAGCGUCUGCUAAAUGCCUGUAAUGUAAUGUAAUGUAA